UCCGUAGGUGAACCUGCGGAGGGAACAUUA
rnacentral:rRNA from 1 species